AUGAAUUAUUUGGGACUCUUGAGAUACUAUUGUCUAGGGUGUACAUUCAACAAAACCUCCACAAGAGUAAAUGAUGUGCUUUUUAUUUAUUUUUUAAAAAGAGCAGAAAUUUUUGAUCAAGGUGGAGAACCUUCUAGUUGUUCAAUAUUUAUAUAUUAUAUUUUCCCUCAUAAAUACACAUAUUAUACAACAAAAGACCAGACUACAGAAUGGCAGGGACUAAAGCUUGGGAAAAUGAACUUAAUUUUUGCUUAUUUGUCUUUAUGUAAAAAUGCAUGAGAUAGCUGUAUUUUCAGUGGUUCAAUGGUUUAGGUCUCUGGCUGCAGAGUGAGAGACUGGGAGUUCAAUUCAAUCCUGUGAGUGGAGCCAGCCUAUGUAGGAAUGGUAAAUUACAUCUGAGUAUUAUUUACCUGGAAAACCCUGAAAAGGGUCGCCAUUAGUCAAAAUUGACAUGACAGCACAUAGUUAAAAAUACAUGCUCAAAUAUCAAAAAUCAAUGUAUUCAUGAAGGCUUUCACGGCCAGGAUCUAAUGGUUGUUGUGGGUUUUUCGGGCUCUUUGGCCGUGUUCUGAAGGUUAUUCUUCCUAACGUUUCGCCAGUCUCUGUGGCCGGCAUCUUCAGAGGACAGCACUCUGUGCUCUACACCAGAGUGCUGUCCUCUGAAGAUGCCAGCCACAGAGACUGGAGAAAUGUUAGGAAGAACAACCUUCAGAACAUGGCCAAAGAGCCCGAAAAAUCUACCACAACCAUCAAAAAUCAAAUUUAAAGUCCUAUAUUGUGUACCCACUUUGGAUUACAUGAUGGGUGACUCAAGCGGCUUUAUAGUUAAGAUUGAUGGCAGGUCUCUAUGUCAUAUCUCACAAUGAUGAGGUCUGUCCCCCUGGCUUUUGGCAACCUCUGAAAAUUACCACCUUCUGAAAAUUAAGAGGCCUUUACUUCUGUCUUUUGGCCAAGUGAACAAUGGGCAGAGGCAAUUAUGGGAUGAAAAUGUUUUUUAAAUCCUCCUCCCUGAGUAGGACUCGUUUUGGUAGAAUACAGCCAGGGCUGUCACUGAUAUGAGACAACUGGGGCUUUCCCCCAGAACAGAAAAGGUGGUUGGUAUACCAGCUACCACUGAGACAACAGAGGACAGGUAUUUGCAAGGUUUUGUCAACAAACCGGUGACCUAGGUUUUGAAGAAGAGGCAAGAUCGAGACAGUGAUCUUGUUUGCCUCAGCUGUUGAUCCCCUGUGAAGGAGAGAGAGAUGCUGACAAGGUGUAAUUGCUAUAGAUGUGCCAU
rnacentral:lncRNA from 1 species